rnacentral:lncRNA from 1 species
CACGAAUUGGCUUAGCAAAAUUUCAAAGCCUCCAUCUCUAAUGUUUGUAGCAUAUUAAGGUAAGUAACUCAGGGACAUUCAGACCUGUGUGGCUCACAGCCUGUCCAGUGUGCUUGUGGCUAUUCUCACUGUUGACUCUGUACUUUUCCGAGCAUUUUUGCUGACAAGCACUUGGGCUUGCUGAGAGAGAUCAUUUGUAUCCAGUGGAGAGAUCUGGGAGAAAGGCAUCAGUGUCUUUGUAUUAGAAAUGCAAUAACUGUGUUAAUCUGUUUUCUGUUGCUGUAUCAAAAUAUAAAGACAAAAUGUCAAAGAAAAGAGGGUCACCUAGCUCACAGUUCCCGAGGUCCCAGAGCAUGGAUCCUGCUCCUGCUCAGCUCUGGUGAGGCCCAUUUGGCUACAUGGCAACAUGGUGGGUGGUGUUGCUGUGGGAGUGUGUGUGAGAGAGAGAGACCCUAUAGUGGGAUUCAGGGGCCAGACUCUCUGUGUUAUCCUGCUCUUUUGGGAACAGGGAUCCUAUGAAAACUGCGUCAACCCCUUUCUAGUCACCUUGCAGCAGGCUUCACCUCUUACAUUGCCCCUCAGCACUGCCACUCUGAAGACCAGGCUUCCAGCACAGGAACCUGUGGGGAAAUACUCACAUACCCUAGUCAUGGUGCUGAUGGUGCUGAUACUUGUUGAUGCUCACAGUGGCUGGGCCUGGUUCUCAGGGCUUCCUGUGUAGCUCGUGCACUUUAUUACUCAUAGAAACUCUGCUAGGUUCUUUCUCCUUACAGAUGUAAGCAGCUGUGGCCCAGAGAGAUUGAGUAGCUUCCCCGGGUCACGUGGUUGGUGUGCAAAGACCAGGGAUUGCAACUCUGGCCGCUCGCCUCCCGAGUCGGCCUCCCUGGGAACUCAGUCCCUCUGAUCUGUGUUAGACACAUAGAAAAAAGCACCUGUGUCCCAUAAGUAGUUGUCCACAUUUUUGGAAAAGGUUUGCUCUUAUGCCUAUUUAAGCUGUUGCCAUUUAUUAGAUUUUUAUCUUUUGUAAAGUAAGUUAUUUGCUUGCAUCUAAUAUUGUUAUUGAAACGUGGUAAGAAAAUUUUUUUUUAUUUAUACAAAUGUAGGAAAGCCUGUAUUUCCAGUAAACAACUUGGCAGUGCAACAGUGUUUGACACAGAACUUCAAAGAAUGAAUUUAGAGGUGACAGCUGUAGAAUGACCAAGCAAUCUGGGUAAUUUUCUACAAUAAACAGCAUAUAUUAGGCCUCUUUGUUCCCUUACCCCAUCCUCUGACACUGUGUGUUCUAGAACUGGCCGGCUGCGUGUUUGGAGCAGCCCCACUGGCUGUAGGCAGAGUUCACCAGGACGUCUUCUG